CCAGUCCCUAGAAAUGAUAAAGAAAACUGUUCAAAACAGAAACUGUUUUAGGAAAAGGAGAAAACACAGGCAGAUGCCAAGAGCAGCUUUAAACUUCCUGAAGUCCAAACUACACAAAAAGUAUUUGCUGAACAAGAAAAAACAUACAAUGCGUAAGUAUUGUGGUAAAUGAAAACACUGAAUGAUUAUUCAAAUAUCAGAAAAGUAAUAUAAAAGAGUUAAACAGUUAAAAAACGUCUUGGUACACUUAUUUAAAGUUGAUGGCUAUCAUUAAAUAUAACACCCUACUUCACAACUAACUCUUUUGAAUAUUUUGGUGCAUUUAAUAGCCAACAAAAAAACAUCCUUUACUGUGUUCACAAACUAGCAUCAUCAAUGUACAUUGUGUACAUUGCGAGCGAUGAAAAGCAUGUGCAUCAAACCAUGUGUUCUACGUCCAUGCAUUCUAUAUACAGACAUUGAAGGUGUACUUACGUAUGGAUAAUACCAUUCCAGAAAUUAUUUGUUUUCAUUUUCCAUGUGGAAUCACUUUGUUCUGACGUUGUUAUGACUCUUGUCAUACAAAAGAUCUUUUCACCCCAAAAUGGAUAGAUUAAGGAUAUUCUCUUCAAACUGCCAAGGAUUGAAUAAUGAUAAAAAGAGACUGGAUGCUUUUGAAAAUUUAAAGAAAAGAAGGGGAAAUAUCUAUUGUAUUCAGGACACUCAUUUUAUGAAGGACACAGAGCAAAAAGUUGAAAAUGAAUGGAGAGCAGAUGUUUGUUGUACUUUUUCUAUUCAGUGACGAUCAAGAGGCGUGCCAAAAAAAAACCGAAAAGAGGUGUGGAAAUGUUUUUGAUAACAAUUUUGUCUUUCAAGUUAUAGAGGAGAUUUAUGAUACAGAAAAUGGUAACUUCAUCAUUCUUAAGAUCAAAAUAAUUUAAGAAGAGUUUAGUAUGACUGAUAUCUAUGCACCAAAUACAGACACUCCAGGGUUUUAUAAAAAUAUUAAGAGACUAUUGUAUAAACUAAAUUCAGAAACAAAUAUAAUUUGUGGAGAUUUUAACCAUGCACUCGAUACCUAUAACUAUAAACACAUAAACAAUCCAAAAGCAUGAGAGGUUUUUUCUUGAAAUGUCAGAUGAAACUAAACCUUUAUGACCCGUGGAGAGAAGCUAACUUAAAGAAGAAAAGGUAUACUUGGAGAAAAUCAAAACUUAUGAAACAAACCAGAUAAGACUACUUCCUAGUUAGUAGAAAUCUAGAAAAAUCAAUUAUUGUCACUGACAUAGUCACAGGUUACAGAUCAGACCAUUCAAUGAUUACCAUGGAAAUGGAAUAUUCAAAAUUGGAAAGGGGAAUAGGUUCAAGUUCAACAACAGUUUACUGUACGACCCAGAGUAUUUCAAAGAAAUCAAAACAAUAAUUCAAGAAACAUUUGAUCAAGAUAGCAUAUUAAACACAGAUGUGGGGAAAAAAUUUAACAAUCAGCGAUCAACCAUUCUAUAAGGUGUUACUUUGUAUUAUUCGAGGCUUCACGAUAAAAUACUGAAAUUGAUUAAAUAGAGAGAACGAAAUAAAUGAAAAACUUGAAACGCUAGAAACUAAACUGGACGAAACAAACGAGCAUCAUGAUAAACAUAUGAUCAUAAAAAAAAUAAGUAAAUUGAAAUUUAGAAUUUUUCAACUUUGGACCUUCAAUUACAAAAUGGAUAAAAACUUUCUAUAACGAUAUCAAAUCAAGUGUUCUUUUUAACGGUUUCUCCUCAGACUUCUUUAACUUAACAAGAGCAUGUAGACAGGGUGAUCGCCUUAAUUAUUGUGCAGAAAUUCUAGCUAAAAUGUUAAGGGAAAAUAAAAAUGUCAAAAGGCAUUAAACUUGUUGAUAUGGACUGACUGAGUAUGGUUUUACGCCGUUUUUAGCAAUAUUCCAGCAAAAUCACGGCGGGGGACACCAGAAAUGGGCUUCACAUAUUGUACCCAUGUGGGGAAUCGAACCCGGGCCUUGUACCUUUCAAAAAGAAAUAAAGUGAUAGAAAAUAUAAAAGAGUUUAUGCCUAUGCACUAUUUCUCAAAGCGCAUUAAUGAUUAUAAGAAGUAUGUAUUGCUUCUAGAAAUUAAAUGUACAAGUAAUACACUUUUACAGUUUUACUUGCAGAGAGGGCUAAAAGGCUUUCAAGUAUUUCUAGAAAAGCUGUCAAUAAGGAGCAUGGACAAUCUGUGUUUGACCAACCAAAUAUGGCAAGUGUCAUGACAAACACAGCAGCUGCAUUUGUGGGAGGAAAGAGGAAAUGGACAGAAACAAUAGACUUAAAAAGAGAAUCCGAUGAGGACACCACA